GCCAAUGAUGAAGAUCUUUUAAUGGUUGACUGAAAUGCAAGUUGAUAAUAAACUUGCUUAUGUGUCGAAAUUCAUGAACUAGGACGGUCUGAGGC